rnacentral:lncRNA from 1 species
CCCGGGAUAGCAGAAGAGACCACGAUAGGGAUCGUGAUAGGCGCCAUGACAGGGACCGUCGCCAUGACCGCGACCGUGAUAGAGACCAUGACCGCUCCUCCCGUGGUAGAGAGCAUGACCGUGAUAGGAGAAGGGAACGCUCUCGAUCCAGGGACCGCAGCAGGUAUUGCUGAAUGUCUUUUUAUUUCCUGUUUGAUUUCAGAGGCUUGCUACUAUCAUAGGCCAAUCCUGACAGUCGUUUUGAUUCUCAGGCGCCAUGAAAGAUAUUGAGUCUGUUGCUCCAUGGCUGGCUGAUUCCCCUGGGGGAUACUCUCGUCUUCCUGCAUGAUAGUGAUGGUGCUUUUUAAGAUAUAUGGUGAGGUUGCGCUUUGUACUGGAGAAAGGAAGAUAGUCUUGAUGUUUGUCUUCGCUGCUGGAUUGUUAGUCACAAACCCUGUGCUCCUGUUAUGCAUCUUUUCUGUCUAUCUGACCUGAUGUUGUGUACUUAUACUGUUUUAUAUGUUACCAACAAUGUAUGAGUUUUGUGUUACUCAAGCCUCCUUGGCCCGGUUGUCAAACUCACAUGUGACGGUAUUUGUAAUUUGCUUAUCUUAUGAUGGUAUGGAGCUAAUUUUCUCCGUCUUGUUAAGGCUCUACUCCUCAGGUGGUUCGUGGCCUAAAGAAUUUUCCAUGCCUGAUUAGUGAUUACUCUCUCCGAUCCUAAUAAUUGAAGCUCUAGGUUUGUCUUAAGUCAAGCUAUAAAUAUUUCAACACCUUGAACACCAAAAUUUGCUUUAUUUGAUUCAUUAUGAGAUAUGUUUUCAUAUCACAUAUAUUUGGUAUCAUAGAUCUUUGCAGUUUUUUCUAUAGAUUUGGCACUUGGCCAAACUUAAAAUGUUUGACUUGGGACAAUCCUAGAACUUCAACUAUUUUAGAAUCAAGGGACUAUUUUAUCAGUUUGUGAAUUGAAAGGUGGUUAAAAUUAAGAACUACUCCCUCUGUGAAUAAAUAUAUUAAUAGUGAUCUAAAAUGUCUUAUAGUUGUUUAUAGAGGGAGUAGUACUCCCUCCUUUCUUUUUAGUCCGCAUAUAAGAUUUGGUCAAAGUCAAGCUUUGUAGAGUUUGACUAACUUUAUAUUAAAAAAUAUAAACAUUCACAAUAUGAAAUCAAUAUUAUCAGAUACACCAUGAAACAUAUUUUCAUACUAUAUAGUUUUAGUAUUGUAGAUGUUCAUAUUUUUUAUAUAAAUUUGGUCAAACUUUGUGUAGUUUGACUUUGACCAAAUCUUAUAUGCGAAGUAAAAAGAAACGGAGGGAGUACAUAGCAUAUUUGGAAGUUCCAGCUUUUAAAAUAGAAAACCGCACAUAUAUACAGCAAGAUGUUAUCUGCAUACUUAUGAGUACAUUCAUUUAUGUGCUCAAAAGGAACAAAACAUGUCGAUAGAAUCAUAUCUUUUGUCCCACAAAUUGACAUAUUUUCUUUGUGAAAUUUUACAGGUACAUAGUUAUCUUGUUCUGUAUAUGUACACCUGUGUAGACAAUUUCAGUUUUUUUUUUGAAAAUCAGGCUCAGCCCAAGAUCAUUUUAUGUUAUCCUCUGGUGAAAUGCACUAAAAAUGAGUCUUCUACAGACCUGUAGUCCUAUCUCUCGGUCUCUCUCCUGCUCGACAAUCGCCAUAACUAGCACAAAGUCAUGGGCAAUCAUGAAUUUGUACAAAUAUAAACAAGACAGAUGAACAUUUUCUCUCAACAGCAAUUUCAAAAGGAGGCAUACAUCUACACCCAAGGCAGCAGCAUUCUCGUAUUAUAUAAACAUAAACCAAAACCUGGAGCUUUCUUCAAUCCAGUCCCAAGUUGAGAUGAAAUCAAUCUUACACAACCGUCCUUUCUAGUAGACUCUCCUCUUGCGGACCUUGAAGCUGGUCGAGCGGAUGACGUCGUCAUCAGCGUUGAGCUUCAUCUGCAGGGUGUCCACCGACUCGGGCUUGGUGAAGUAGGUCCAGAGGAGGUAGAUGCCAUCGUAGUAGGUGAAGGGCAGCCCGGUCCUGCUGUUCCUCUUCCUGAUGCUGUAGGCCAGUGGGAUGACCCCUCUGUUGAACACCUCCACGUACAUGGCACCCCCGGCCACGAGCAGCUGCAAUAACAGUUCAGCGAGGGAGGAGCUCCAUCAGUACGCAGAAUGACAAUUGCCAACAGAUUUGAUACAAUUGUACUAGAAUUCGCGGCACACUGUUUCCGAAUCCCAGUGAACCUGAACCCCAUUCUCCUGAAAUUGUCCGGGUUUGACAAAUCAGGCUUGAAAUUUGUGGGUUUUAAAGGGACCAUCAUUAGUCAGUAAAGUUUUGAAGGCUAUAAUUGUAUCCAACUUUUUGAAUACAACAAUGUGCGUGCUAGAACACCAUUACCGCAUGGUUCAUGGCACGCUUGCUUACGUGAGUCUGAACCCCAUUCCCCUGAAUCUGUCGGGAUUUGUGGGGUUAAUGGAACCACAGUUUGUCAUUAUAAGUUAUAUGAAAGGCUAUUAUUGUACCCAACAUGUUUAAUGCAGCAAUGUGCGAUGCUAGAACACCAUUAUCAUCAGUGGUGAGAUGUUAUUCUCUCCCAAUUGGCAGAGAGAACAUCUAACUCAUAGGUGGAACGCUGAUGACCAAGAGAACAAUAAGAGGGCAUUGUUUCGAUCAGGUGGUGUAAAUAGCCAUCAUGCACUCAAUCAACCUACUCAGUUCAUCUUAAACUGGUAAAUAAAGAUAACCUUUUCAUGCAUCACAUUUUACCCAAGGCCUUCAGAUUAGCAAAACAUCAGUACAAUGAUUGGAGACUCAAGCCAAUACUGUCACAGUGGCCACCACCACCCUGAAUUCUCACAGGAAUUCCUGUGUAAAUUGCAGCCGGAUGAUCGUCAGUGGCAAGAUGCUAUUCUCUAAUCCUUUUCUCUGCCAAUUGAUAGACCAUUAACUGACAGGCGGAAAAAUCGAUGAACAAGGGUAAAUAUUGAUUAUGCGCUCAACCUACUAGGUUCAUUUAACUGGUAAAGAUAUAUAUCCUGUUCAUGCACCGCAUUUCAUCCAAGCCUUGAAGACUGAAGCCAAGACUGUCACAUUGGCCAUUACACUGAAUUUUCACUGGAAUUCAUGUGUGAAUUGCAGCUGGACAAUCCUAGUGAACUAAGCAGCGAUUCAAGAUAUGCAAUGUCACAUUAUCUGCUACACUAGACUAGAUUUUCGCAGGAGUCCAUCUGUGAAUUGCAGGGAGGAGAUGACCGAAUCCGUUGGAAUAAGAGACACUGCGCGGGCGGGGGUUAGGGUUACCUCCUCGUAGCGCUGGAUGAGGGCCAGGCGCUCCUCCUCGGACAUGUCGGGGCGGAGCACGACCAUGGUCUCGUACUGGCGGAGGCCGGGCGGGCAGGGCGGCAUCUCGCGCUCCUCCAGCGCCAUCGCCGCCUCCGAGGCCGACAUCCCGCCGAACCCCGACGACGACCCGUCCUCGUCCCCGACCUCCUCCUCGUCGCGGCCGCGGGUGCGGGUCGCGGACGCCGCGCCUCCGUAGAAGCUCGCGGCGUAGCCCGUGGAGAAGGCGCGGGCGGCGCGGGUGAGGCUACGGGGCGCGGGGAGGCGGUGGCGCGGGGCGAAGGCCGCGGCGGAGGAGGAGACGGAGACGGAGACGGAGAGCGCCAUGGGCGGCGGCAUUGGAGCGGGCGGGGGAGGGAGAGGGGAGGAGGCAGUGCGGGAUAGUGGAGUCCCGUGGAUAGAUAAGGAUAGGGGCAAGCGGCGUGCACUUGAAUUCAAAUGCGUGUUUCUUUUCAAAUCUCACCCCCACUGGUUUUCUAAAAUCCCAUUUGAAUUUUGAACAACGAUUAUGGGAUGUUCGGGAGCUUCGGGCUCUCCCGAAGAAAUAAUACCCCUACGUCCUACUUUGGUUGUAUUGAUUUCGAGGAAGUACAAGUUACAUGUUGAUCUACCGUGAGAUCUAUGUGUGCAUCAGGUAUCGUCUACAGGUCUCACCCCUCGGUUUAGAUAGAUACCAGGGUGUACACAGAAUACACCUAGGGGAAUCGUGGUGCAGACAACCUCUAAGUCUUGGAGUAAGUGCCAAGUCUUCGGAAACAAACCAUCUUUGGCGCUUCUAGGCCUGACGAAUCAUGGUCCACUGGUAAAUUAUCUUAGGGGGGGUCCUCGACCUAGCCCAUCUACCCGGGAGACGACAGGAUACUAUCAAUAUUUUCACUAUAUUUUGAUAUUCUAGAAACAAACUAAAAAAACAUGCUGUACAAGGAUAUUACCUAGUGCAGAAAUUGUCUCGUGGAUUUCACUCGAAUUAUUUAAUUAAUUCAAAGUGUUUGAUAUAAAUAAAUGAAGUUCUAAGUUACAACACAAUUGUGAUUGUUCCUACCAGACAGAGGCAAGAGGCAUCGCCGCCUGACGGCCAAGGUGAUGAAAGAGGCGACAGUGAGGAAGUAGGCCAUGUCACCGUUGUAGCGGGCAAACCGUCUUGAAGGACAUGGAAAUUUCAUGGUUGUGUUGGAUGAAACUAACACCAACGGCCUCGAGGACAUUGCCUUGUCAAUGACGGAUGAAAUCCAAGUGGCGAGACAAUAUAGUCCCAAAGUGGAGGAGAUGGACCCACAUAUUAUGAAGAAGCUAACAAGGUCGGUGAACUACAAGGCUGAGGAGGGUGAGACUUUGGGAAAUGCUUAGAUGAGCAUCUCCCUUGAUGACACAAUUGGAGCUGAUCAAACCAAGGAUUUUUUUGAAGAGAAUUAUUAAGGAAGACUAUACACGUAAUGUUUCGGUUCCCUCCAACCGGACACAAGGUUCUCUCGCUCAAUGAUGGAGUGUCAUCCAACAUGGUUGUAACCGGUGGCCCAAUUGUUGACUAAGUGAACAACUCACCGCCGAGUGGAUUGCUAACCAUCGAGUAUGUAACCAUCAUUCAAGUUCUAUAUGAGCAACGAAGCAAAAUGGGUGGGAAACAAACCUUUCACUUUGCACCAUUGAUUCAAAGUUCUCCAAAAAGAAUAGAAGUGGGCUAGGAAAAUUAAGAAACAAUAUUGAGGGGGUUAAGAUUGAGGAUCUCCAACUCAUUUGAUGUGGGCGAUCAUGGUGAGGGGGAAGAGGGUGGCUUCACUCCAAGCUCUUGGCCAAAUGAGACGAAUAUAGAAAAUGAGAAGAAGAAGAAUGGUGAAGUUGGCACCUCACAGAAGAACACGGUGCGAUGAUCGAGACAAAGAAAGUGUUGGCAGCCGAACAUAAGCAAGAGAAGAUGGUGAGGUGGAUGGAGCUCAAAAUGUUGGAGGAGUAGAGGUUGAGAGAGAAGGUAGUGACAGAAGCUUGCUUAAUGAAUGUUGAAGAGAGGAAGGUGCAAUGCGGAGGAGCAAAGUCUUGCAAUCAAGGUCAAUGAGCAAAUAAAAAAGGAUAAAGUCGAGGAGUGCCAAAUCACUUUCAUGGAUUUGAGUGGGAUGGAUGAAGUGGCACAACAAUACUUUUUUUUCACGAAUACACAAAGCUUGAGUAUCAUUUCAUUCAUAGAAUAAGUUAGAGUGAGUACAUGGGAUGGUACAACCCAUGGCACGAACACAAGAGGCGUGAACAUGGUUGCCGAAGCAGAGAGACAUGAGAUGCUUGACCCAAACAAAGAAAAACAC